CCCAUACUCACGGCUACAUUACCAACCCUGAGAGGCUGGCCUGAGCAUCUAGCUGUCUUCCAAGACUUUGGUGAGUCUAAACAAAGACCAGGAGCUAGAUUUCUGCUUUCCAGUCUGGUGAUCUUCUCAUAUCACCUCUUGAAGAAUCAUUCAACAUGUAAUAGUAAAAUAGUAACAGCGGAUGGCUACAGAAUGCUGGCUUGUGCCUGGCUCUGCUACCUAGACUAAAUCUCAGGUUUCAUAUCCACUCAUGAACUAGUUAUGGUUCAUGAUAGAAUGUGAGAUACAUGAAGACACUAGGGCAUGUUACUGCUAACCUUGUUCACAUGCUCACUAACCCAGCAAGUGGCGGAGAGCAGAUUUGCACUAGAGGCCAUACAACAGCACAGGCAUACAUACGUAUUAGCCACCAUUUGUUAAGCAAUGUUUAGGUGCUGAGCCACUGAGCUAGUCCCUCUGUGGUGUUUUUAUAAGGUCAUCUCUAAUUGUCCAGUGUUGAGUGCAGGAGGUGGUGGGAGUUGGGGGUGUCACCGAGGGAACUGAAGAAGAAAACUGAAGACACUGUCCCCCUGCCCUUAAGAAGCUGACAAUAUGUGCAAGAAGAUGACAAUAAUCCUUACCUUUGCACAACACUUGACAGUUUUCAAAGCCCUUUGAUUAUCUCAUUUAAUCUUCUUGACAGUCCUGCCAGUUAAUUUUCAUGAUCUCUGCUCCAGGAUGAGGAAACCAAAGCGCUCCAAGUCACACAGGCUGCCCCAAGAUCACCCAACCAUCCCGCAGAGGGGCAGGCACCUGACCUCAGGUCUCAGGAUGCCCUCUCUGCGGAAGGGGAAUGACGGGCUGCCUCCAGGGCCCAGCUCAGCGCUUGCUGACCUGCUCCAACAUGAGGCUUCCUUUUUCCCUUUGGAAACUGUUGCAAUCCUGCAGAUGAGGAAAGAGGCACAGAUACCUUUAAACAACCUGCCCGAGGCUAUACAGCUGGUCUGGGCAGAGCUGGCACUCAAAGCCAGGCAGUCCAGGAGGGAAAGCUCGCCUUUACCAGAGCGCUGAAGGGGCUGAGGAGACUCCGUGUCACCUGGGCAUCUGAUUCACCCUCAGGAGACCUCCACUGAGUUCCAGCUCAGCUGUUUAUGAGCCGCGUGACCUGGGCCAGUCAGGUUGCCUCCUGGAGCCUCGCCGAUUCAGCUGCAGGGGCGGUGAUAAUAAAACGUGCUCCACCUACCUCUCGGGA